rnacentral:rRNA from 1 species
GGAGCUUGCUCCCUGAUGUUAGCGGCGGACGGGUGAGUAACACGUGGGUAACCUGCCUGUAAGACUGGGAUAACUCCGGGAAACCGGGGCUAAUACCGGAUGGUUGUUUGAACCGCAUGGUUCAGACAUAAAAGGUGGCUUCGGCUACCACUUACAGAUGGACCCGCGGCGCAUUAGCUAGUUGGUGAGGUAACGGCUCACCAAGGCGACGAUGCGUAGCCGACCUGAGAGGGUGAUCGGCCACACUGGGACUGAGACAUCUUCCGCAAUGGACGAAAGUCUGACGGAGCAACGCCGCGUGAGUGAUGAAGGUUUUCGGAUCGUAAAGCUCUGUUGUUAGGGAAGAACAAGUGCCGUUCAAAUAGGGCGGCACCUUGACGGUACCUAACCAGAAAGCCACGGCUAACUACGUGCCAGCAGCCGCGGUAAUACGUAGGUGGCAAGCGUUGUCCGGAAUUAUUGGGCGUAAAGGGCUCGCAGGCGGUUUCUUAAGUCUGAUGUGAAAGCCCCCGGCUCAACCGGGGAGGGUCAUUGGAAACUGGGGAACUUGAGUGCAGAAGAGGAGAGUGGAAUUCCACGUGUAGCGGUGAAAUGCGUAGAGAUGUGGAGGAACACCAGUGGCGAAGGCGACUCUCUGGUCUGUAACUGACGCUGAGGAGCGAAAGCGUGGGGAGCGAACAGGAUUAGAUACCCUGGUAGUCCACGCCGUAAACGAUGAGUGCUAAGUGUUAGGGGGUUUCCGCCCCUUAGUGCUGCAGCUAACGCAUUAAGCACUCCGCCUGGGGAGUACGGUCGCAAGACUGAAACUCAAAGGAAUUGACGGGGGCCCGCACAAGCGGUGGAGCAUGUGGUUUAAUUCGAAGCAACGCGAAGAACCUUACCAGGUCUUGACAUCCUCUGACAAUCCUAGAGAUAGGACGUCCCCUUCGGGGGCAGAGUGACAGGUGGUGCAUGGUUGUCGUCAGCUCGUGUCGUGAGAUGUUGGGUUAAGUCCCGCAACGAGCGCAACCCUUGAUCUUAGUUGCCAGCAUUCAGUUGGGCACUCUAAGGUGACUGCCGGUGACAAACCGGAGGAAGGUGGGGAUGACGUCAAAUCAUCAUGCCCCUUAUGACCUGGGCUACACACGUGCUACAAUGGACAGAACAAAGGGCAGCGAAACCGCGAGGUUAAGCCAAUCCCACAAAUCUGUUCUCAGUUCGGAUCGCAGUCUGCAACUCGACUGCGUGAAGCUGGAAUCGCUAGUAAUCGCGGAUCAGCAUGCCGCGGUGAAUACGUUCCCGGGCCUUGUACACACCGCCCGUCACACCACGAGAGUUUGUAACACCCGAAGUCGGUGAGGUAACCUUUAUGGAGCCAGCCGCCGAAGG